CCUACGGGCGGCAGCAGUCGAGAAUCAUUCACAAUGGGGGAAACCCUGAUGGGGCGACGCCGCGUGGGGGAAUGAAGGUCUGCGGAUUGUAAACCCCUGUCAUGUGGGAGCAAAUUAAAAAGAUAGUACCACAAGAGGAAGAGACGGCUAACUCUGUGCCAGCAGCCGCGGGAAUACAGAGGUCUCAAGCGUUGUUCGGAAUCACUGGGCGUAAAGCGUGCGUAGGCUGUUUCGUAAGUCGUGUGUGAAAGGCGCGGGCUCAACCCGCGGACGGCACAUGAUACUGCGAGACUAGAGUAAUGGAGGGGGAACCGGAAUUCUCGGUGUAGCAGUGAAAUGCGUAGAUAUCGAGAGGAACACUCGUGGCGAAGGCGGGUUCCUGGACAUUAACUGACGCUGAGGCACGAAGGCCAGGGGAGCGAAAGGGAUUAGAUACCCCUGUAGUC
rnacentral:rRNA from 1 species